CCGUGCGGGCAGGACCGUCGCGAGGAGCGAUCCUCGAGGAAAGUCCGGGCUCCACAGGGUUCGGUGGCGGGUAACGCCCGCCGGGCGCAAGCCCAGGGACAGUGCAACAGAAAGCAAACCGCCGAUGGCCCCUCACGGGGAUCAGGUAAGGGUGAAACGGUGGGGUAAGAGCCCACCGCGAGGACGGCAACGCCCUCGGCACGGCAAACCCCACCGGGAGAAAGGCCACAUAGAGGAGGACGGGGCCCCGCAAGGGGACCCCACGGCGCGGCCCGCGCCGCAGGACUCCCGGGUAGGCCGUUCGAGCCCGUCGGCGACGGCGGGCCGAGAUCGAUGACGGUCACCCUCCGCAAGGGGGGGACAGAACCCGGCUUACGGCCCGCACGGACUU
rnacentral:RNase_P_RNA from 1 species